rnacentral:rRNA from 1 species
AUUAAUAAGCGGAGGAAAAGAAACCAACCGGGAUUCCCUGAGUAAGGGCGACUGAAACGGGAAGAGCCCAGCGCAUAACCUCGCGGCCGACUGCCGGCCGACGAGGGGUGUUGCGUUUCGGUGGGUCCAUCCCGCUCGGACCGUGUAUCGCCUAAGUCAUUGCUUGAAAGCAGCCCCAAGGAGGGUGAGAGGCCCGUGUGGCGGACCCCGGUAAUAAGGGUUGAGGCGGUUCCGAGCGGAGGGAUCUUCACUGUAGAGUCGGGUUGCCUAGUAUCGCAGCCCUAAGUAGGUGGUAAACUCCAUCUAAGGCUAAAUAUGACCACGAGUCCGAUAGCAAACAAGUACCGUGAGGGAAAGUUGAAAAGGACUUUGAAGAGAGAGUUCAAGAGGACGUGAAACCGUUAGAAGCUUAAACGGGUGGAACCACGAAGGUCGAACGAGGGGAUUCCGCUCGUCGCCAUUCUGGUAUACCUUGGGGGGUACGUAAUGAGAAGACCCAGCGCCAAUGUGGCACAAGCUGUGGCUCCCUCCUUGGUUACUAGUUUGUCCGACGGGCUUAUUUCUCCCUCUAGUAGGUCGUCGCGACCCGUUGUAGGGACUCCAAAGGCCGUGCUGGAUUGGUACCCCGUCGCCUUCUGGCGGCGGGCGAAUACUGGCUGCGGUUCUGUCGAGUCCCCACGACGGUCACUGCAAAGAGGAGGAUGCCUUGUGGGCGCCACUCCUCUCGCGGCGUGCACUCAUCGGUAAUCCACCCGA